AGGCGAAACGCGGCCGGCACCUUUGUGGCCGGGCGCGUCGUCGUGGGUUCGGUAUCCACGGCCUGACGAGCCAGCCGCUU
rnacentral:hammerhead_ribozyme from 1 species